rnacentral:lncRNA from 1 species
CGAGGAGCACUUGACCGUUUAAGCCUUCUUCGGUAACGACGAGUCUUUCUGAUUGGCGUCUCUAUAAUAGUGGUCUCGACCGUGAUAGCAAAGGCAUCUUGAACCGCCGUGAAUGAAAGUGUCUCCUACCGGUUAUCGACAACGGCGGUGGCGCCAGUCUCACUGCCCGCGACGGUUUCGUUCUAAGAGGAUAAAGUUGGUUCGUGCGACGCUUUCGGUGAAGGUCGCGUCGCCGGGGAGGAUGAGACGACGAGACUUCAUCGGCGACGAAGGGUGGCAGUUCGACGGCUGGUUCUAGUUGCGGAGGCGGCUGGCGGCGACAGUAGUAUAAGUAUACAAAUUGAUAACAUAAUUGGAAAUAUUUAAAAGGGAAUAAACUCCACCAAUUUAAUAUCAAUUAUUAUAAUACCAGUUAUAAUAAUUGAUAUUUAACACUAACAAUUAAAUUAAAUAAAGGAAAAGUAAAUAUACAAAAAAUAGCUAAUAAAGACUAAUUAGUACAAUUUAAAACUAAUUAUUAUAAUUGAUAUCCUCCCG